CAACGUAGGUAAUCUACCUUCGGAUGGGGAAUAACAAUCGGAAACGGUUGCUAAUACCGCAUAAUGCAGCGGCACCUAAUGGUGACAGUUGUUAAAGCGGGGGAUCGAAAGACCUCGCGUCUGAAGAGGAGCCUGCGGCGGAUUAGCUAGUUGGUAAGGUAAUGGCUUACCAAGGCGACGAUCCGUAACCGGCCCGAGAGGGCGGUCGGUCACACUGACACUGACAUACGGGUCAG
rnacentral:rRNA from 1 species